GGACCAGUGGUGCAAUGGAUACCGUGUCUGAUUACGGAUCAGAAGAUUCUAGGUUGGACUCCUGGCUGGCUUG
rnacentral:tRNA from 1 species